rnacentral:rRNA from 1 species
GUUAAGAAGUGUUCUCAACAAGCCAGACCCCAUCUGAUCUCAGAAGCUAAGCAUGGUCGGGCCUGGUUAGUACUUGGAUGGGAGACCACCUAGGAAGACCAGAUGCUGUAGGCA